GGUUAAGCGACUAAGCGUACACGGUGGAUGCCCUGGCAGUCAGAGGCGAUGAAGGACGUGCUAAUCUGCGAAAAGCGUCGGUAAGGUGAUAUGAACCGUUAUAACCGGCGAUGUCCGAAUGGGGAAACCCAGUGUGAUUCGUCACACUAUCGUUAACUGAAUACAUAGGUUAACGAGGCGAACCGGGGGAACUGAAACAUCUAAGUACCCCGAGGAAAAGAAAUCAACCGAGAUUCCCCCAGUAGCGGCGAGCGAACGGGGAGCAGCCCAGAGUCUGAAUCAGCUUGUGUGUUAGUGGAACGGUCUGGAAAGUCCGACGGUACAGGGUGAUAGUCCCGUACACCAAAAUGCACAGGCUGUGAACUCGAAGAGUAGGGCGGGACACGUGGUAUCCUGUCUGAAUAUGGGGGGACCAUCCUCCAAGGCUAAAUACUCCUGACUGACCGAUAGUGAACCAGUACCGUGAGGGAAAGGCGAAAAGAACCCCGGCGAGGGGAGUGAAAAAGAACCUGAAACCGUGUACGUACAAGCAGUGGGAGCACCUUCGGGUGUGACUGCGUACCUUUUGUAUAAUGGGUCAGCGACUUAUAUUCUGUAGCAAGGUUAACCGUAUAGGGGAGCCGCAGGGAAACCGAGUCUUAACUGGGCGUUAAGUUGCAGGGUAUAGACCCGAAACCCGGUGAUCUAGCCAUGGGCAGGUUGAAGGUUGGGUAACACUAACUGGAGGACCGAACCGACUAAUGUUGAAAAAUUAGCGGAUGACUUGUGGCUGGGGGUGAAAGGCCAAUCAAACCGGGAGAUAGCUGGUUCUCCCCGAAAGCUAUUUAGGUAGCGCCUCGUGAA
rnacentral:rRNA from 1 species